ensembl:lncRNA
GUGGGCACGUGGAGAUCUGGGUGAGUGGUUUCUUUGUCUCUACCCCCUUCCCCGCCGCCCCUGAGCCGAGGCGCCAGGUGUGCCGCCGCCUUUGGAAGGUUCUGGAAGGCUCUGCAGUUGUGCCAGUUGCCACAGGCGUUGCACCCUGGAUCUAAUGAAGCCUUUCCAACGUGUACAACUGCCCCUUCACAAAAGCUUAUCUGUCUAAACAGAACCCAUUGAGUCAAACCACAGCGCUCAUUAGGAGAUGGAUAACAGGGCUGUAUCUGCCCUGCUGGGAGAGGAUCAGCAAAGGAACAGCGACAAAGAUGUCAUCAUGCUAGAAAAUAGUGUCACGACCUGUGCUGGCAGAGGAAAGUUCUCAACCAAUUUUAAGGCUCAAAGUAAUGAAAAUGUAGCUGCAAAGCACUCUCUGCAAAGAGUUUUCUCACUAAGUCAUGCUAACCAAGAAGACAAAGUACUUGCUUCUAAAAUCUCUGAUCCUCUUAAAGUUACUGAAGAACCUCGGGCACAGAUCUUAAAACCUGAUCUAGAGAUACCACAUCAAGCCAAAGCCACAUCAAUACCACUAUCUUUUUUCCCAUCUAAACUACAGCAACUCCUUGUAGCUACAGCGAGAAGUGUCUCUGAAGCAAGGCAAGCUACAGAAACACAAUCUGUAAUUUACAUAUGGCCAGUAAUAAAGGUGCAAGAGAGUUCUAUAUCCUUCUGGCACAAUUUUUCAAAGUCUUUAAUACGAAGCAGCCCAGACUUAACAAGACACUGUUCUAGUCCUGAAGUAACUGAAUAUGAGAAAUGUUCCCAGAUAACCCCAGUGAAAGAGCUUGCACAAGAGGAGCCAGACAGAAAGACGUCAAGAUUCUAUCCUCUUAUUGUAAAGUCAUGUAACAGUGCUGUUUCAGAAAUUUUAGAGUCACUCACCAAUAUCAAGAAUAAGGAUUAUAAGAAUAUGUUAACACUUUCAUGUAUUAGUCCUAUCAGAGAGCAAUUGGAAAUUCCUCUCUUUGAGGGAAAUGCUUUAAUGAUCUAUAAUCAUCAAGUCUACAUUCUGUAUGUAAUGAGGCAUGAAGAUCUGGCGGCAGAGAUGAAAGUAUCUGGCCACCAUAUGUUGUUUAUGAAGACUGUUGUUUGGCUUGUUACAUGUCGCUCUGUUCGUAAACUAACAUUCCAAGAUGCACAUCCACUGCUGUUGAGAGAGCAUGCUGUGAAACACAACAUAAAAUGUCUUACAGCCUGUGCUACCCCUACAGCCCAAAAGAAAACAUCAAAUGAAAUACAUUUCUCUUCACACAAGAGGACUGCAAUCUCUCAGGCUGAGAACUGCUCCCCUCUUGCUGGGAAAAGGCAGCAGGUGGUAACCCAUGAUGAUCAGUUCCUCAGCAAGACUGCAUUCCCAUCCAAAGAAGACUUGCAGAAAAGAAAUGAUGAAAAAGCGCGUUGGGAUAAAGAUAAGAAAAUAAGAAAGAGAUUUGGUCUUGUUAAAGGUGUAAGAGUUGUUCUCAACAGGCUAAGUGCCUCAGAGCUUAGGAAGUUGACCGCCGAACCAUCUGCACUUAAAAAACAAGGUAACCAUUAUGACAGAGAACUAAGGGAAGUGCCACACGUACAUACCUCUCUGUACACAAAUAUGGAGUAUACUUCACCUUGAAGUAUUUAUUACACAGCAUUAGUAUAAAUUUCAAAAUUUUUGAGCAUUUAACCCAUAACAUAAAACAUUUUUUUGUUAGAGAACUUCACUACAGCUACUUCUAAAGUGUCAGGAUCUGGUGCUUCCCCUCCCCCCCUGCCCAGGACUUUCUCCAAAAACUGCAGAUAAAAUGCCAGCUACUGCUGAAGUCUUUUCUGACUCUGCCUUCUCUUUGGAAUUCAUGCAGCUGCAAUGGAAAGUAGAAAAAGUGCCUGCUGAUCUUACUGAUAGUAGUGGUUUGCAGUCUGUGCGCCAGUGUGUCUUGUGGGCGGAAACAGGAAGCUCUUCAUGCCUGUGCUGGGCUCUUCCUGGUUUGAGCAUUGCUCUUCAUUUCAAGUGAAGGUGCCAGAGGCCCAAGCCACGUGUUUAUAGUCAUUGACCUGCUUUUGAGAAAGUCUUACCCUAUGGCUUUGCUUAGAAGUACUAUUUGGCAGUUUUGCCUGGUAUCAUCAGAGCCUCUGGGAACAGGUGUUUGCUUUCUCUAGUCCCUGACAUUUUAAAACUCUCAGUUCAUAUUCACCUUUUGUGUCCAUUUUAUAUUUUUCUACAACAAAGCUCUUAAGAUUUUUUCAGCAGGUAGACUGGACAUAAAUUUCCAGAAUCCUGUAUAAUUUCAAUAUACUUUUUUUCAAGUGAUCAGUAAUAAAUCAGCAUUUCUCCUCAAUCUGCUUAUUAUCUCAUAUCCAGCACUUAACUUCCAUUUCUGUCAACUGGAUUUUAAGCCAUCAUCACCCAGCCUUUCCAAGAUCUUUGACAAUGGUCUGUUUUUGUUGUCUCUAGAUGGGGAGCAUCAUUGAUGUGUUGUCAGCAUUCAUGAAAAUAUACUAUGCCUUCUUGUGAAAUAUUUCAAGGUCAGCUAGAGCAAAACUCUCAAAAGAAUAUGUUAAACCACAGGUACAGCUCCUGGUUUAUUUUUUCCUUUGUGCUAGUCCUCAAAUGAAAGUAAUAAAAUUAGUAUUGGCUGUCAUUUCUCCUAAAAUUUCCUUUCCAGUAAAUAUGCCAAGGCAGACCCUUAGGAUAAUCAAAUUUUUAUGGUGUUUCUCCAUUUAUACAUGUUAUAAUUUCUCAACAUGUGUUCAGAAAUCAGAUAAGAUCAAGUACCUAGCAAAAUGUUUCAUUUUUGGCUGAUUUAUACAAAUGCUUCCACUUGCUUUUGAGAAGUUUCAGUUACACCUGAAAACUACUAAUUACAGUGUUAUUAGUAGUUCUCAUUAACCUGAAGCGUUAUUGUGACUGCUUUUCAAUAUUUUCUGCUGCCAUGUCUUUUCCUUUGCAGAUUACAUUCAUUUUAUUACAUUCUAUCAUUUCACACAGACCGUGUACUUUGCAUGUAGUCAUUCAAGUAAUAAAAAGAUGUUACAUCC